rnacentral:rRNA from 1 species
GAUGAACGCUAGCUACAGGCUUAACACAUGCAAGUCGAGGGGAAACGACAUCGAAAGCUUGCUUUUGAUGGGCGUCGACCGGCGCACGGGUGAGUAACGCGUAUCCAACCUGCCCAUCACUUGGGAAUAACCUUGCGAAAGUAAGACUAAUACCCAAUGACAUCCCACGAAGACAUCUGAAUGGGAUUAAAGAUUUAUCGGUGAUGGAUGGGGAUGCGUCUGAUUAGCUUGUUGGCGGGGUAACGGCCCACCAAGGCAACGAUCAGUAGGGGUUCUGAGAGGAAGGUCCCCCACAUUGGAGCUGAGACACGGUCCAAACUCCUACGGGAGGCAGCAGUGAGGAAUAUUGGUCAAUGGGCGAGAGCCUGAACCAGCCAAGUAGCGUGCAGGAGGACGGCCCUAUGGGUUGUAAACUGCUUUUAUAAGGGAAUAAAGUGGGUCUCGUGAGACUUUUUGCAUGUACCUUAUGAAUAAGAACCGGCUAAUUCCGUG